AUGAGCCCUCUGGCAAACAUGUCUACAACAACGUGCAUACACCGAUGUAGGGACCUGUGUAUCUCCACUGAACCUACUUCUCUCGGCUGCCCGUGGAGAGGCUUCUGGAGAGCAGUGGUUGUUCAUCCGUCUCCUGGCACGCAGGAAUUCUCCGCAACUCCGUCAGCCCAUUUACCUUUGCCGAGAGAGAUUAUGGCCGGGGCCGAGCCGCUCCCCCGGAGGCCCUUCCCAGCUCACACCCGCAAGGGACGGCAGCAGCCAGCGGACUCUGGUGGCACAAUGGCGUUACGGGGGAGGGAAACUCCCUCCCCCAGCACCGCCUGUCAGCGGCCGGGAAGGGGAUUCACCAGCCGAGCGCCGGGCUCGGACGCCCAGGCCCCUCACCGCCCGCCGUGCAGCCCGCCGGCGGGCCCGCGCUCCCGCGCCGCGGGGGGAGGGAGGGAAACGGCCGCCCUGAGGCACCUCCCGUCACCCGCCGGUCCCCGCUCCGGCAGCCGGCACCCAGCCCGAGGGACUCCGCGGAACGGGGGCACGGUGACCUCCGCCGCCGCCUCCCGCCUACCCUGGGACCACCCUCCGGCCCCGGCGCACCGCAGGCCGCGAACAAUGGCCCGCCGCCAGCCCCCGGGCUUCCCCGGCCGCCGCACGGGCGGGCCGCUCCGGGGCCGGCCCCGCCCCGCCGCUGGGCGGCCGCCGCUCCCCCGCCCCUCCCCGCCUCGGCCGCCCAAGUCCCUUGAACUUUCCCCGGGCGCUCGCAACAAGCGGCCCGCGCGGGGCUGCCUGCGCCCCCGCCGCCCGCACAGCCCCCGCGCCUCCCGCCGAGCCCCCCCCAAGCACCGGCUGCCCUCGGAGCCUCCGGAAUCCCCGCACACCGCCCGCCCAGGCGCCCUCCGAGCCCCCUCCCCCGGCGCGGCGCCCCCGGCAGAGCCCGCCGCCGCCUCCUCUCCUCUCCCUGCGCACCCGGCACAGCCCCCCGCCCUCCCUCGCACGCCCACGCGCGGCACCCCUCCACCCCACCCCCAGCCCCCCGCCUCGCCACACGCGUUCCGUCCGCCCACGCCCGCCCCGGUCCGCACACGCCCACCCCCGUCCCCUUCCCCAGAGCCAGACCUGCGCCGCGCCGGGCGGAGGCCCCCGCCCUCGCCGCCGGCUGCCCCCCGGGGCCGCGCUGACCUCCGCGCGCUCCCUCCCGCCGCCGGGGAGGGCCCCCCUCAACAAAGGGGGCGAGCAGCGACAGGCGGGACGCGCGCACAGACACGCGCGGCCGGGCGCUCCGUCCGGAUGCGGUGA
rnacentral:lncRNA from 1 species